GCCUCAUGCCAGACUUACACACCUAGUUAUUAACUAGUUAAUCAUAGCUAUAAGUUCAUAUUAUUCCAAUUUAAACAAGAUUAGAGCUGAAAUUCUGAAUCAUCUCACGGCACAUUCUAUUUUCACCAAAACAGAUUUUUUUCUUGCUCUUAAUCUCAUCAACGCACAUAAACACGACAUGCAAUUUUUAAUCUCCUUGUUUUUACUUAGUUAAUCCCAAAUUCCUGCUCAGAUUAUCCCAGAUUAUCGAAUCAAAGCUGCAAAUUUCCCACUCAACUCUCGGCAGCUCCCCAUUUGUAAGAUUCAGGAUUUCCGAUACUUUAAUCCAUCAUCCAAGAGCUUGAACAUCACAUGCAAGCUUAUAACAGCAUCAUCUACCAAAAAUCAGCUACUCUAAAGCCGGAAAUUACCUUGGUUUGAAGCUUAGCUCACGCAAUAAGGUUCUGCAAUUUUUUU
rnacentral:lncRNA from 1 species